CUAUCCCUUUAAAGAUCAUAACGGAUUUAACAGGUUUGCUGAAUGCUCAAAAAGACAGCCCCGUCCCAAACUCACUAAUUGUUUGAGUCAGAAGUUGACAUGUUGGGCCGCGCAAACAAACAAACAAACAUUCUGCUUUCAAAUAUUGGCGGAACACUCGUAUUAACCAGUUGAACGCAUAUGAAUGCCACCAUAAAAUGGUAUCCUAUUUGUAAGUGUGAAACUUAGGAUAGUCUUUAAGCCCAGAAUUUCCGAAUUUCAUCUGUUAAAAUGAAUUCGUUUUUUUCUUGUUUUCAUUUACAAUGAAACUAAGGCUACGUCUACAGCGGUGGCUAAAAUGAUUAGAACACUAGUAUUUUCAGCAGCUAAAAAAUGGUUUUAAGUCAGUUAUUUCUGUCUUUUGCUGUAGGAAAUAUCAGUUUACAUUUCCAAACAUUCAUUUUUGCCAUUAAUUGUAAUAACCCAGUGAGAUUUUUGUGCUCCACACAGAGAUCUGAUCAUCAUCAGUCUGUCUGGAAUGACAUGAAGGAACAAACUGAGAGACAGACUAAAUCCAGAAGAACUGUGUCUCAAGACGCUUCAAGAAACCUCCUGCAAAGCUACAGUGCUGUUAAAAGUUUUAGGCACUUGUGCAAAAAUGCUGUAAAAUGAGGAUGCUGUCAAAAAUAAUGUCAUGAAUAGAUUUUCUUUAUCAAUUAACUUAUAUUAACUAAAUGAAAUCAGCAUUUGUGAGCAUCCUUUGCGUUUAAAGCAGCUUUGCCCUCGCUGCACUUGAGCAGAGUUUUCACUGAUGAUUGUGUGUCUGAUGUAAAACGCACCUGCCCUCAUGUUUUGCCAUGAACAGCAAUCGCGAGUACAUUUUUGCAGGACUGUGACAUGAAGAGUGUACAAAGUAACACAUCUGUAUCACUAGUGUUAAAGUGAAUAGCGCAUAACAGGCACAACACCAGUAUAAACAUAGAAAUCUAUUGGUACAUUAUGCGUCGCGUGACUAAACAUGCGUCAUCAUUUUCACAGUCCACACUACAACGUGAAAACAGCGUUUUCACAUUUAUCCACUUUGGAAAAUGUUUUUUUUUUUUUUUUUUAAUAAAGCUCAGUUUUCCUUGGCAAAAACGCUGUCUCAGUGUGGACGGAAGGCCAAAACGGAGAGAAAAAGAUACGUUUUCAAACAAAAACAUGUUAGUGUGUACAAGGCCUAAACUGCAUGUUAUAAAUAGCAUAGUAUUGUACAAUUACUAUAGAAUAGCCUAUAUAACGAUUCAGUUUACAGCAUAAAACACAUCCAAUGCACAUUCUUUAUUCAUCAUUUUGUGCUUGCAGAGUUGAAAAACUCUUUGAAUUUCAUGUAGAAAAUCACCAUCUUUCUCCGACCGAAGUGAUUUGAACGCACCUGACGUCGUAAUUUCGAUUUCCCAACUCAACUACGUUCAACUUUCCAAGGGGACUCGAACGCACCGACAGACAGCGAUUAAUCCAGACACCGGAGCUGCCCGAGGCCAAACGCUUCUGCUCUCUCACUCAUGGAAAAAGUGAGUCGUGGAGUCUGAUAGCCCAUAAUACAGCACGUCAACGCCUGCGAACGAACGGCCCGAACUCAGUCAACACACGCUGAGCUCCUCGUUCACGCCUCUGACUGACAGCUACAUUUGAAUGCAGGUGAAGAUUCUUAUUCAGAACCAGUUCCAUUAUUUUUAAAUACUGGAACUGAAUCAUUUCCAUGAUGUUGUUGACGGUUCUGAGCUAAAAUACUCUGGCAGACAUUUACAUAGACAGCAUCCCAGACAGAAACUCAUGAGGGAACCAUUUAGAAAGUAUUUGUAUCAACUCAUCAAUACAUAACUUUGUAUUGAUACUUUUCAAUACUGAAUUAAUUCAAUUUAUUACAAGGCGCUCUGCUCGAUUCUGAUUGGUGAUUUGCGACAUUAACACCAUUAUUUAAUUAUUUCUGACAGGAAUGAAAGCGAGGCUGUGAGGGACUGAAGUACAGCGUAUACCAGGUUGUUUAACAACAUAACGAUUGUUCUGGCGAAACGUCUUUCCAUAAAACAGAUUUGAAAGUAGUGAGUCGUGAAAAUUACGUGAUAUAGGACAACUAUACUCUAGUCAUAAACAGAUCUAUCAAUUUUAAUUUGUGUUCAAUUCAGUUUGGUGUCUAACCUGACUAAAAUAACAUUCAUCCAGAUAUCUGAAGCGAAGGCAUUACAAUCUUGUGUCUGUCUUAUAGACUAUUUAUUGAUUAGAAAAUGAAAUCUGAGGAUUUAAGUGUUAUUAACAGUGCAUUUUUAUUGCAGUGUUCGUUUUCUUGCCAGAAUGAUUAUACACUGACGGAUUAUAGGAUAAUAAACAGGUAAGAUUUUAAAACAGCUUCAUCUCAAAUCAAUAUUUCAUGUCCCCAUAAUUAUUUAUGAGGUUUAUUUACUAUAAUAAGUAGUAUGACUGUAUCUUAUCCCUUAAAUUUCUGUCUUGUUUGAACUUGUUUGUUCAUCUUGGCUAAAAGCCACUUUCUAAGAACAGUUUUUCUUCACAGAUGCUUUGUAUUCAGUGAGCUAAUGAAACAUUUAAACUCGUAUCAAUAUUUUGUGUCCAAUUAUUUAGUUAUGUGGAGAGCAGCCGUGUAAUAAGCAGGAUAAACCCCUUCACGGUGAUCACCCUGUCGAGGUCGAGGUUUAUUUUGCAACAACAACCAUCCGGAUGUACAUUAUCCCUCACUUAUAAUUGACAUUUCUCUCCCUUUGGAUAUAUAUUUUUUUCACUAAUCUCUUCACAAUGCAUUCUGGGAUUGCCUUCUCCGCGAUGAAUACUAUACGCUAUGCACUAUUUCCUCCAGUGUUUAGUGGAUGAACUUUGUGUUCAACAGUGCAUGUUCAACACUCCACACUUGUUUUUUUCAGUUAAAUAAGUGCAUCCCAAGGUAUUUAAAGUGCACUUCUUGUUGGAGUUUUCAGUGUGAACACACUACUUGCACUAGACUAUUUAUACCACAAAAUGGCAUAGAAUAGUGCAAAAUUGUGACGCAGCUAAUGUUUCCUGCAUUGUGCUGCACUGCUAUUGAAUAUACAGCACCACGGCAUGAAAAAUGAUGUUUUAGCUGAGAGUUUGCAGUCUGAAUCAAAUAUGCACAAAAUAAUACAAAGGUAAUAUUCACACAGGAUGUGUGAUUCACAGAUGAAUGAGUCAUAUGGUUGUUUUUAAUGAAUCAGUCAAAAACACUCAUCAGUCAGUCUCAGUCUCAAAUGCAUGAACUAUCGGUUUGAUCAGUUUAAUGACUGAAUCACUGACUGAAGUCAUUACUUUUGUCAUGUCCAACUCAAAAUGAACCAAGAGCUGUUACUGUGUGGCUCCAGAGACUUAAAGCAGUGUAAUCACCGAUGUGUUCAAACGCCAACAUGAGCUCAAAGAAUCAUUAAUGUGAUUAUUGAGGAAGCAGAUUCAUUUUUAACUGUGAAGAUCACAAAUGUGACUAAGACCAUUUAGCCUUUUCUAAUCAUGUCCGAGAUUUUUUUCUGUGUUCAUAUGGCACAUGCCACAAAAGUCACCAAGUUCAGUACCGUUCUGAAGAAGUAAAAAAUUCAAAACAUAAAACUGGCUACAAAGAGUGGGGCUCUACACUGCAACCGUUUCAGUCGCAUUUGAAACCAAAAAUUAGUAUGUGCGACUGAAAAUAUAUUUAUAGGCAAUGAAAAUAUUUUCAAACAAAUCACUGUUUGCACAUCUCAGAGCAACACACAGAUGUGUUUCACUGCUGAAUGAAUCAGCAUUUUUUGAACGAAUCGGUCAAUGAUUCAAUUAAUUAUUCAUAAAGUCACUUGCUUCACUUAUGAAUGAAUCAGCCAUUCUGAGCGAAUCGACUGAAUCGGUUAAUGACUCUAUGACUUGCUGCCAACUACUUUAAAAGUAGAGUUUAAUUUUUUUCCAUCAUUUUGUAGUUCUAUAUUCAAAAGUUAAAGGUGCUGUAUGUAAUAUUGACAGCUAGUGGUUGAAACUGUGGUCCAAAUUCAAAAUAUUUUUUGUCCCACCCCUCCUGCUCAGACUCGAUGCUCACAUGGGUUGCCAGAUUGAGGACACACAACAGGAACAAGUGCAAUUGACAAUGGAAACAACAAGCCUUACACUGUCGGGUAGAAUCUGUGAUCUCUGACCCAGUGCGUUUGCUGGCUUCCAUGGCUGCAAUACUUGUUUCCCACCAGCUGGCAACCCGGGGUGUCGGAAUCCUAUUGGGUAAACUGGCAGUGGGCGGAGUCACACAGACCAAAACAAAAACAGACAUUCCGACACAGAAUGCUCAUUUUAAAGCAGAACAACUGCUGUAGCUUUAUUUUUCAGAGAUGUAUGAAGUAUGUGAACUUAGUGUGUUUCCUAAAUAUCUGCGAAAAUGGUAUUUUAUAUGCUUUAGUGCACAUUUUUAGUGCAAAAAUGCAUGCGGCACCUUUAAUUUUUAAAACACUACAUUAAUGUCAGCUGCAUUAAGCAGAGUAAAUGCAUAUAAAUGCCACUUCAGAUGCAGCUUCUGUGCCGCUUCUGCAGUUCAAAGUUGGAUUCUGUUGAUACUGAUUGUAUUUGAUUGGUAACAACCUGGUGUGUCUUAUUGAUUGAUUGUUUUUUUGUUUUUUAUAAAUUCUGAAUAAAACAAACAUUAAUGGACAAAAUUAUACAAGAAAGUACAGUUUUGUUUUUUCUACUUUCAUGUUUAAUUCAGUGUGUUACUUGCCACUUCUUGUAAUUGUUUGUGAAAUUUACUUGAAAUUGUGUUUUUUUUUGUGUGUGUGUGUACAUUUUAUAAGGUUAGAGAAAACUGCCAUAGGAAAUUAAUUUAAGGGGUCAUGUAUGAUGAACGGCGCUUUAUUGUUCAUCCCAAAGAGGCACUAAAUCACUUUCACAGACUUUUUCAUUAACUGUUCCCUCCUGCUCAACUCAAUCCCAGCAGCUGAGUCCUUAACCAUCUUCAUCUCUUCCAUCUUUUUUUGACCCUCUGACUCUAGCACUCUCUAUUCUAAUUCUGUUCUUAAAAAAAUAACACUAACUUCUCUAUUCUUUUUGUUUUCUAUUUAUUUAUUAUAUAAUUAAAAUAAAAUAAAAAAAACCUUGCCACGUGUACUGCAUUAAGCUAACCGAUUUUGAUUGUAAUUGUAAAGUUAUUGUCUGUCAUUGAUCAGAAGGUGCAAAUUACCAAAUUUGUCAUUUCAUUUCUUACAAAGCUAUCCCAACCAUCAACUGCACAGAAAUUGCAGUAGAAUUCAGAAGACCCUUGAAAGUAUCUGUAAGAAUGCGGCCCCUCGCUGUCUGACGCUUUAGUCUGCCAGAUAAAAUCAGCAUCCGCCGCUGCUCCGGAGCACGGAGGUCCCAACACUGCUUGGCUCAUGAAAAGCAGGCUGGGAUAAGUAGAUUCUGGAGCGCUGCGAGGAGCUAAUCUAACAUCCUGAGAGCGCGGCUGGGGGCGGAGGUCCGUGGAGAGCACUCGAGCGGCCCACGCCAGAGCCACGGAGCUCUCUCCUGCGGGGCGAAGCGGCUCCUUUACAGGAUAUGCUGGAACCCCAUCAGGGCUCUCAGGCUCUCACGGGAGAUCAGUCAGGAAACGGAGCGAAAAUCCACACUGAAAAUACAACACCUAUAGAACAUAUACUCGCGGAAUGAAUCUGUUAUAUAACGGCUCUCAGGCCUGCAAGCCGCAGGGUUUUAUUUUGUGGUCAGAAGCAUCGGCGUGUGAAAGUAAAGCUCUGAGUUUCUCAGAAUGCUUCCUUUGUUCGCUUGCAAUUGUGCAAAUGUUCUUCUGUAUAAUCCAUCAGCACCUGGAAUACAGAUCAGGCCUGUAAAAGACUCGCGCUCCAUCUCACUUCAGUACAGUGCCAUCGUCUUUCUCUCGUGUCUGUGUUUGUUCUGUGUGUGGAAACUCUAGUAUUUGAGGCUUAGAUGUGAAGGAUGUGUUGUACGGUGUAUUGUAUUUAAAAGCCUGCAAAAAAAUGACAAAAAAUGACGGACAGUGUCUGUAUGAACUAAAGCAUCGCCUAUAACGGUAGGAAAUAACUAAUGUGUAGGCAUUUUAACUGAUAUGUAAAAAGCUAUUAAGAUUUGGUUAAUUGUCAAAAAUAUUAAUUUACACUACAAUUGGGGAUUUUUAAAAAUGUUUUGAAAAAAAAAAAGUAUCUUCUGCUUACCAAGACUGCAUUUAUUUGAUCUAAAAUACACAAAUAAUAAGUGAAAUGUUAUUACAGUUUUAAACAGCUGUUUUCUAUGUGGAUAUAUUUUAAAAUGUAAUUUAUUUCUGAGAUCAAAUCUGUAUUUUCAGCAUCAUUACUGCAGUCUUCAGAGUCACAUGAUCCUUCAGAAAUCAUUCUAAUAUGCUGAUUAAAACAUUAACAUUUCUGAUUUUUAUUAAUGCUGAAAACAGUUGUGCUGCCCAAUAUUUUUGUGGAAAGCGUAAUAGAUUUUAUUUUUUAUAGUUCAAAAGAACAGCAUUUAUUUGAAAUAGAAACCUUUUGUGACAUUAUGCAUGUCUUUACUGUCACUUUUGAUCAGUUUAAUGCAUGCUUGAUAAAUAAAAGUAUUAACUGCUUUCAAAAGCAUCCAACACUUUUGAAUUGUAACGUAUACAAAUAUAUAAGCAGUUUAAGAGUGUUAGGAGAUAAUUGAUUGUCAUUCACUGUUCUUUGUUUUCUGUUUUCAUAAUAACAGCACCUUCUCUUAUUCAUUUACUUUUUAUUACUACUUUUUUAACUGAAGUUGAAAUCUAUAUGGUCACAGAACAACCUCAAGAGCUCAUGAUCAGUCAGUUUCGAAAGAUCUAUACUAAAAAUGUAUUCCAGGAUGAUAACUUUCAUGUCUGUUUGUGUACCUGUGUUUCGGAGAUCUUGUGCAUUAUUAUGAACACAAAAUGCUUCAAGUUCACUGUAUUUACACAUUUGUGUCAUACAUUAUACCCCAGUGAAAAAGAAAUAUACUAAAAUGUAUUUGAAAUACAUUUAUUUCAUGCUAAGUAUACUACAAAUACAUUUACAUAUUUAUGUGCUUAAUAAAAAUGUACCAUGCAACUCUACUUUUAGUAUAUUAAACUUGUAUACUUAAAGU